rnacentral:lncRNA from 1 species
AAAUCAAUCCCUUCAACUUGUGUAUCACCCCUAAUAACAAGCCUUGCUUUAUACCUUUCAACAAGACCAUCAGACUUGCCAAUGGGUUCAGGAGGAAGAGGAACAACAUCCCAGGUAUGAUUAGCUUCCAAAGCAUCAAACUCCUGUCUCAUUGCAUCCUGCCAUGCUGGGACAGAUGCAGCUUGAGAGUAAUACAAAGGUUCAGAUUCCAAAGUAGAAGAAGAUAUCAAACUCCUGUCUCAUUGCAUCCUGCCAUGCUGGGACAGAUGCAGCUUGAGAGUAAUACAAAGGUUCAGAUUCCAAAGUAGAAAAAGAGGAACCAGAAAAGGCAGGGAGUUGACAGACAUAAUCCUUAAGAUAGGAAGGAGGAUUAUGCUGUCUAGUGGAUUUUCUAGGAGUAGGAAGAGGAUGUGAAUGAGGUAAAACAGGAGGAGAGAUAUCAUGAUUGAAAGAAGGAAGGGAAGAUGGAGCAGCAUCAAUAGAAUCAGAAUAGGAGAAUCAGAUGUAAAAUUAGGAACAGGAGAAUCAGGAGAAGCAGGUAUAGGAAAAUCUGUGUCAGGGAAAUGUUCAGCAGGAGGAAUAGAAGGAAAGGAUGAAGGAGAAGGGUGAGCAGAAGAAGGUUUAUUCUUAAAAGGAAAACAAGUUUCAUGGAAGACAACAUCCCUGGAGACAAAACACUUCU